rnacentral:rRNA from 1 species
AGGACGAACGCUGGCGGCGUGCUUAACACAUGCAAGUCGAGCGGUAAGGCCCUUUCGGGGUAACACGAGCGGCGAACGGGUGAGUAACACGUGGGUGACCUGCCCUCAGCUCUGGGAUAAGCCUGGGAAACUGGGUCUAAUACCGGAUAUGACUCCAUGACGCAUGUUGUGGGGUGGAAAGCCUUGUGCGGCUGAGGAUGGGCCCGCGGCCUAUCAGCUUGUUGGUGGGGUGAUGGCCUACCAAGGCGACGACGGGUAGCCGGCCUGAGAGGGCGACCGGCCACACUGGGACUGAGACACGGCCCAGACUCCUACGGGAGGCAGCAGUGGGGAAUCUUGCGCAAUGGGGCGAAAGCCUGACGCAGCGACGCCGCGUGAGGGAUGACGGCCU